rnacentral:rRNA from 1 species
CCUACGGGUGGCUGCAGUGGGGAAUAUUGGACAAUGGGCGAAAGCCUGAUCCAGCCAUGCCGCGUGUGUGAAGAAGGCCUUCGGGUUGUAAAGCACUUUCAGUGGGGAAGAAAGCCUUGGGGCUAAUACCCUCGAGGAAGGACAUCACCCACAGAAGAAGCACCGGCUAACUCCGUGCCAGCAGCCGCGGUAAUACGGAGGGUGCGAGCGUUAAUCGGAAUUACUGGGCGUAAAGCGCGCGUAGGCGGUCUGAUAAGCCGGUUGUGAAGGCCCCGGGCUCAACCUGGGAACGGCAUCCGGAACUGUCAGGCUAGAGUGCAGGAGAGGAAGGUAGAAUUCCCGGUGUAGCGGUGAAAUGCGUAGAGAUCGGGAGGAAUACCAGUGGCGAAGGCGGCCUUCUGGACUGACACUGACGCUGAGGUGCGAAAGCGUGGGUAGCAAACAGGAUUAGAUACCCGAGUAGUC